rnacentral:rRNA from 1 species
UACGUAGGGUGCGAGCGUUAAUCGGAAUUACUGGGCGUAAAGCGUGCGCAGGCGGUUUUGUAAGCCAGAUGUGAAAUCCCCGGGCUUAACCUGGGAAUGGCAUUUGGGACUGCAAGGCUUGAGUGCGGCAGAGGAGACUGGAAUUCCUGGUGUAGCAGUGAAAUGCGUAGAUAUCAGGAGGAAUACCGAUGGCGAAGGCGGCAUCCUGGACCAAUAUUGACGCUGAGGAGCGAAAGCUAGGGGAGCAAACGGG